rnacentral:rRNA from 1 species
ACGAGCAGCGGGGGCUUCGGCCUGCCGGCGAGUGGCGAACGGGUGAGUAAUGCAUCGGAACGUACCCAGUCGUGGGGGAUAACUACGCGAAAGCGUGGCUAAUACCGCAUACGCCCUGAGGGGGAAAGCGGGGGAUCUUCGGACCUCGCGCGAUUGGAGGGGCUGAUGUCGGAUUAGCUAGUUGGUGGGGUAAAGGCCUACCAAGGCGACGAUCCGUAGCUGGUCUGAGAGGAUGAUCAGCCACACUGGGACUGAGACACGGCCCAGACUCCUACGGGAGGCAGCAGUGGGGAAUUUUGGACAAUGGGCGCAAGCCUGAUCCAGCCAUGCCGCGUGAGUGAAGAAGGCCUUCGGGUUGUAAAGCUCUUUCAGUCGGGAAGAAACGGCGCGCUCUAACAUACCGUGUUAGUGACGGU